rnacentral:rRNA from 1 species
AUGGCAGCCGCAGCACUGAGGGCGCAGCUCAACGCCCAUAUCGCCGGCAUGUACACCGAGUGUGUGGUGGACGAAGACAUGUUUGAGGAGCUGCGGGAGGAGGGCACCGCCGUUGAGGUCUCCCGCCUCUUCAUCAAUGACGCCCACGAGAUCAUCGACGACAUCGACACCCUGAUGGAGCAGCCCCAAGUGGACUUCGACGAGGUGGAAGCCCUGACGCAGCAGCUCAUGCGGUGCACCUCUAGGUGCCUCGUGUCCUUGGCUCUUGUUAGGAAUGAGUUAUUUAUUGUGCGACAUGAGUUGGAGGUCAUGAUCGAGCUCGAAGAGCAGAUCGCGGCAUGUGGUCCUAACUCCUAA